GCUCCUAUAGUUCAACGGAUAGAAUAAUCGGCUACGAACCGAUUGAUUCCGGUUCAAAUCCGGAUAGGAGAA
rnacentral:tRNA from 1 species